GACGAACGCUGGCGGCAUGCCUAACACAUGCAAGUCGAACGGAGAAUCGCUUCGGUGAUUCUUAGUGGCGAACGGGUGAGUAACGCGUAGGCAACCUGCCCUUUGGAUGGGGACAACAUUCCGAAAGGAGUGCAUUUAUCGCAUGGUAGAUGUACCAAAGAUUUAUCGCUUAAGGAUGGACUCGCGUCUGAUUAGAUAGUUGGUGAGGUAACGGCUCACCAAGUCGACGAUCAGUAGCCGAACUGAGAGGUUGAUCGGCCACAUUGGGACUGAGACACGGCCCAGACUCCUACGGGAGGCAGCAGUGGGGAAUAUUGCGCAAUGGGGGCAACCCUGACGCAGCAACGCCGCGUGAAGGAUGAAGGUCUUCGGAUCGUAAACUUUUGUCUUAUGGGAAGAACAAGGACGGUACCAUAGGAGGAAGCCACGGCUAACUACGUG
rnacentral:rRNA from 1 species